CCUACGGGUGGCAGCAGUCGAGAAUCAUUCACAAUGGGCGGAAGCCUGAUGGUGUGACGCCGCGUGGGGGAUGAAGGUCUUCGGAUUGUAAACUCCUGUCAUCCGCGAGCUAUUAGCGGAAGAGGAAGGGACGGCUAACUCUGUGCCAGCAGCCGCGGUAAUACAGAGGUCCCAAGCGUUGUUCGGAAUCACUGGGCGUAAAGGGUGCGUAGGCGGCGCGCCAAGUCGGAUGUGAAAGACCGGGGCUCAACCCCGGAAGUGCAUCCGAUACUGGCGUGCUUGAGGGUUUGAGGGGAGUCGGGAAUUCACGGUGUAGCAGUGAAAUGCGUGGAUAUCGUGAGGAAGACCGGUGGCGAAGGCGCGACUCUGGAAAACCCUGACGCUGAGGCACGAAGGCCAGGGGAGCGAACGGGAUUAGAUACCCUUGUAGUC
rnacentral:rRNA from 1 species